UCUCUAACAACCCUUAGGAAUUUAAGUUCAUAGUUUAUUUGCACACCUGUUUUGUCUUGUGUUUGUCACGCAGACCAGAGGAGCAGUCGCGGCCCGGCUUAUACUUCUUUAAGGAAGUGAACAGGCCUUACUCAGACAACGGCUCUCUCAGCCUUCUCCCAGGGCCUGUUAAACUGCUAGACCUCUGAAGCAAAAGCUAGCUAAGGCAACCCCUGCAUCUUUCCCUUACCAGGGCUUCUUUGUCGCGCCCUAAUUUCUAGAUUUACCCCAGAGUAUGGGACUCCAGUCUCCUGUGAUCUCUCUUCCAUGUAUGAGUACACGCAGUACUUAGGUGGCCUGAACCCAAGCAAUGAAGGGAAGCCCAGGAACAGGAAAGGAAAGUGGCCUCACCCAAGAUAAGAAUCCUCGUGCUCUGGUACCAGGCUUUUGGCAGCCACACUGGACCCAUGUGCGACCGUGUCAAGGCCUGAGAAUCCUCUCUUCCAAGGACAUUUGUUGAGCACCUGUUCCGGAGCAAGGACGGUGCGAGGGGCCUGGGACACAAGAUUGGUCACGGAGAGAUGCUCCUCUGUAGGCCUUCUCAAAGUUUUUAUCCACAAAGUAAGGCACCUGCAGGUUCUGCGUUUCUCUAGAGA